rnacentral:lncRNA from 1 species
UCUAUAAUUUAGAUAUCUAUAAUAUAGAAAUACUCAUUGAACAGAGGUUAAAGCUUAAACUAACAGCAGUUGUAAUAUCUUUGCAGCGUAAUUCUACCCCAGAACAUUUUAGACUUGAAUUUGCUCAUGACACUGAAUUUAAUUGACAAUGCACAGUCUAAUAAAUAUGAUUCUGAUGCUAAAUUUCUUGAUCUUAUUGUUAUGUUUUGGAGCAGGUGAGGUGGGGUGGCAGAAGCCAGGAUGGUGCAGGAAACACUGUUGGCGAGGAGGUGGAACAACACCAUUACAACACCAUCGCUGCCUGUGAGGAGAACGUUGACGUAGAAGCAGCAUGCAGUCUCUCUGAGGAUGUAAUUCUGCCUUGGGAAGCGCAAGGAGAUGUUCUCUUUUCCAAAACAGUGGUGAGCCUCCGCUUGAAGAGGCGACUCUUUGAUCAGGUCAUGCUCGUCAGGCGUCUGGAAGAGGAGAAACUGAUCAUUGUGAAGGAGAUGACCCAGCAUUGUCAGUCUCUAAAAAAGGCGUUGAACAAACUGGACAACCUCCAUUCAUAAGACGAAAGAGGACAUCAAGAACCAUAGUAUGUUCCACAAAUAUUUUAUAAAAUGUAAAGCCUCAGAGUCGGGCAUUCAAACUGCAUUCCAUGUUACCAACUUCAAUAGUCAUUAUAAAAGCUGCCUAAUUUUCAGUCUCAUUUUUCUUCACUUUUUAAUUUAGCUUCUUCCAGAGAGCUGACCGAAGAGGGAUACAGGGGACUGCACUGCUGUCUUCUGCAAAAGCAGUACAUUCUCCAGCAGAAACUGAGCACUGUCACUACCACCUACACCUACACACUUGACACAGACCCCUCUAUUUUCACGUU